AUACUUACCUGGCAGGGACGAGACCAUGAUCGAGAAGGUGGGCGAGGCUCAGCCAUUGCACUCCGGUUGUGCUGACUCCUGCGAAUUCCCCAAAUGUUGGAAUCUCGGCUGCAUAAUUUCUGAUGGGACAGUGGUAGCCUAGUGGGUAGGGCUUUG